rnacentral:rRNA from 1 species
AGUGAACGCUGGCGGUAGGCCUAACACAUGCAAGUCGAACGGCAGCACAGUAAGAGCUUGCUCUUACGGGUGGCGAGUGGCGGACGGGUGAGGAAUACAUCGGAAUCUACUUUUUCGUGGGGGAUAACGUAGGGAAACUUACGCUAAUACCGCAUACGACCUACGGGUGAAAGCAGGGGAUCUUCGGACCUUGCGCGAUUGAAUGAGCCGAUGUCGGAUUAGCUAGUUGGCGGGGUAAAGGCCCACCAAGGCGACGAUCCGUAGCUGGUCGGAGAGGAUGAUCACCCCAACGGGAGGUGAGCCAGGGUCACGCCCACUACGGGAGGCACCAGAGGGGAAUGUCUGACAACGGGGGCAAGCAUGAUCCAGCCCGACCGCGUGGGAGACGAAGGCCCUCGGCUUGUAAAGCCCUUCUGUUGGGAAAGAAAAGCAGCCGGCUGAUACCUCGCUGUUCUGACGGUACCCAAAGAAUAAGCACCGGCUAACUUCGUG